AGGGGUGUAGCACAGUGGAGUGCACCGGGGUUUCAGCCCUGCCUCGGGGACGGGAGUUCGAUUCUCUCCACCUCUC
rnacentral:tRNA from 1 species